rnacentral:rRNA from 1 species
UACAGAGGUCCCAAGCGUUGUUCGGAUUCACUGGGCGUAAAGGGUGCGUAGGUGGUUGGGUAAGUUUGAUGUGAAAUCUCCGGGCUUAACCCGGAAACUGCAUUGAAUACUAUCUGGCUAGAGGGUUGGAGGGGGGACUGGAAUACUUGGUGUAGCAGUGAAAUGCGUAGAUAUCAAGUGGAACACCAGUGGCGAAGGCGAGUCGCUGGACAACUCCUGACACUGAGGCACGAAAGCUAGGGGAGCAAACAGG